rnacentral:rRNA from 1 species
AUUGAACGCUGGCGGCAGGCCUAACACAUGCAAGUCGAACGAGUGGCGGACGGGUGAGUAAUGUCUGGGAAACUGCCUGAUGGAGGGGGAUAACUACUGGAAACGGUAGCUAAUACCGCAUACCAUCAGAUGUGCCCAGAGUGGAGUAGCUUGUGGGUGGGGUAAAGGCUCACCAAGGCGACGAUCCGUAGCUGGUCUGAGAGGAUGACCAGUCACACGGGAACUGAGACACGGUCCAGACUCCUACGGGAGGCAGCAGUGGGGAAGAUUGCACAAUGGGCGCAAGCCUGAUGCAGCCAUGCCGCGUGUGUGAAGAAGGCCUUCGGGUUGUAAAGUACUUUAAGCGGGGAGGCGUUACCCGCAGAAGAAGCACCGGCUAACUCCGUGCCAGCAGCCGCGGUAAUAC